CCACACUGAGCCAGCCCCACCUCCAGCGUCCUGGGCAGAGAGUUCUGGUGCCGAAGAAGCCGAUCCCCGCGACCUACGCCGCAGACCACCUAGGCAGGUUCCGGCUCAGGAGGACCCCUCCCAGGGCUACCUCCUCGAAGUCUCCCUGCCCUUCUCCAGCAACGCCAGCACUGUGUCUACCACAGCGCCCAGCUCCACUCGUGGGUGGAGACACAAAGACUGCCGCCCCCGCCAGCGCCAGCCACUAAGCUUCACCGCCACCUACAGCAGGAAGGGGAAAAGGGCCUCCUCGACACCACCCCAUGUACCUACAAGAUAAAAUCAGGACCAGGGGAAGGGGCCAACCUCAGCAAGGGCACUGAAGACCCACCACGAGCCAGCCCUGGGUGAGACACUGGAGGAGAAGGUUAGUACCUUCUUUCUAGGUGCCUGGAGUCCUGGCACUGCAGAAAAUCCUACACUCCUGCCCUCUCAGAGGCUGGCUUACUCCUACAUGGGGCUACUGGGUGCCCCAAUGUGAUACAGGUAGGGGUGCUUAUUCCUUACAGUUCCCUGGCCUGGAGAGUGUCUGGUGCCUGCCCUGUCCCAUUCUUGGGGUGCCCAUGAGGCCAGGAAAUUGGAGGACCACUUGGUAAUUAACAGUGUGCUGUGGCCAGGACAUGAGUACUUGGGCUUAGAUCCCAGUUUUCCAGGGCCAGGCUCUGGGCCUCUGUACCCUCUCCUAGCAGGGGAGUUUACUGAUGGCCAGGACUGUGGGCUCACUGCUGUGUCCCCAAACAUAGGAUGGUGCUGGGUGCACAGCUGGUGCUCAACAAAUGUGGAAUGACUAUCGAGGGGCUGACAGUGCCCACUUCCCAGGGUUGAUGGGGGACAGAUGAGGGUGUGACACAGAGUGGGGACUGAGGGGUUGGAGCUAGUUACAGGUCCGAGCCCUCCACAAGGGGCAGCCCUCAGGGUUAAGCCCCUGGAUGCCAGUCAUUUGCCUUCUGGGCCCUCCCUCUGCCCAGGGACUUGGACCUUUAGUGGAGGGACCACAGGAGACUCACCAUCUUGCA